UACCAGCACCCCGAGUGGUCGGGACGAUUAUUGGGCCUAAAGCAUCCGUAGCCGGUCCUGCAAGUCUUCCGUUAAAUCCAGCUGCUCAACGGAUGGGCUGCGGGAGAUACUACAGGGCUAGGAGGCGGGAGAGGCAAGCGGUACUUUAUGGGUAGGGGUAAAAUCCGCUGAUCCAUAGAAGACCACCAGUGGCGAAGGCGGCUUGCCAGAACGCGCUCGACGGUGAGGGAUGAAAGCUGGGGGAGCAAACCGG
rnacentral:rRNA from 1 species